rnacentral:lncRNA from 1 species
ACCGGUCCCCGGGAGACCGGUCCUUGUCCAAGAGACCGGUUCCCGAGAGCUGCAUUCUCGGGACUUAGCCAAAUUUGGCUAAGUCUCGCCAGGCCAACGUUCGGGAACCGGUCCCUGCCCACCAGGGACCGGUCUCAUCAGAGACCUCCGCAACCCAGCCUGAUGGAACCGGUCCCUCCCUGCCAGGGACCGGUCCCCGAGAGCAUUUCUGCUCCAGUGCAAGUUUUGCACUGGUGCUCCCGCGGACCCUUCCUUAAUGCACUUUAUGCAUUAUAAACACCUUCGGACUUUCCGAAGCCUACGCACACGACAACUAGUCGAUUCUGGUCGAAGUCUAAUCCUCGAGUUUCGAGAAUUCACUUCCUUACAG